rnacentral:rRNA from 1 species
AUUGAACGCUGGCGGCAGGCCUAACACAUGCAAGUCGAGCGAGCGGCGGACGGGUGAGUAAUGUAUGGGGACUGCCCGAUAGAGGGGGAUAACUACUGGAAACGGUGGCUAAUACCGCAUACUAUCGGAUAACCCAUAUGGGAUUAGCUAGUAGGUGGGGUAAAGGCUCACCUAGGCGACGAUCUCUAGCUGGUCUGAGAGGAUGAUCGCCAACGCGGGGACGGGAAAACGGCCAAGACUCCUAGGGAGGAAGCAGUGGGGAUUUUGGCACAAUGGGGGAAAGCCUGAUGCAGCCAUGCGGGGUGUAUGAAGAGGGCCUUGGGGUUGUAAAUUACUUUCAUCGGGGAGGCGUUACCCGCAGAAGAGGCACCGGCUAACUCCGUGCCAGCAGCCGCGGUAAUA